UACGUAGGGUGCAGGCGUUAAUCGGAAUUACUGGGCGUAAAGCGUGCGCAGGCGGUUUUGUAAGUCUGUCGUGAAAUCCCCGGGCUCAACCUGGGAAUUGCGAUGGAGACUGCAAGGCUAGAAUCUGGCAGAGGGGGGGUAGAAUUCCACGUGUAGCAGUGAAAUGCGUAGAGAUGUGGAGGAACACCGAUGGCGAAGGCAGCCCCCUGGGUCAAGGAUUGACGCUCAUGCACGAAAGCUGGGGAGCAAACAGG
rnacentral:rRNA from 1 species